UCCUUCAUAGCUUAGUUGGUAAAGAAUCUACCUGCAAUGCAGGAGACCCAGGUUUGAUUCCUGGGUCGGAA
rnacentral:tRNA from 1 species